UACGUAGGGUGCAAGCGUUAAUCGGAAUUACUGGGCGUAAAGCGCACGCAGGUGGCUGAGUCAGUCGAUUGUGAAAGCCCUGGGCUUAACCUGGGAAUUGCAGUCGAUACUACUCAGCUAGAGUAUGGGAGAGGGCAGUGGAAUUCCCGGUGUAGCGGUGAAAUGCGUAGAUAUCGGGAGGAACAUCAGUGGCGAAGGCGGCUGCCUGGCCCAAUACUGACACUCAGGUGCGACAGCGUGGGGAGCAAACAGG
rnacentral:rRNA from 1 species